UACGGGGAGGGCAAGCGUUGUUCGGAAUUACUGGGCGUAAAGGGCUCGUAGGCGGCCAACUAAGUCGGACGUGAAAUCCCUCAGCUUAACUGGGGAACUGCGUCCGAUACUGGAUGGCUUGGAUUCGGGAGAGGGAUGCGGAAUUCCAGGUGUAGCGGUGAAAUGCGUAGAUAUCGAGAGGAACACCUGCGGCGAAGGCGGGUUGCUGGGCUGACACUGACGCUGAUGCGCGAAAGCUAGGGGAGCGAACGGG
rnacentral:rRNA from 1 species